UGCUUAAAUGAUAAAGAAGAGCAAAGAACGUGAGAGAGAAGAAAAGGCAGAGAGUGUGGAUGGAAUCUACCAAACCUGACACUUGUUUCUGUUUUCACCGAGAGAAAAGAAUACGUGAAGUGCACCUUGCAACAUGGCGUCUAAUCCCAAUAUCACGCACGCAAGUUUCCAUGCCAAACAUUCUCCUCCUCCUCUUAUUCUUCUUAUUCUCCUCCUCUUAUUCUUCUUAUUCUCCUUGCCUGUGCCUCUGUUCUGUUAAUUGAUGUAGGUCUGCUCCUUGAACCUAAAAAUUAGCCUUCUUUUCCUCUCUCACACUCUUCGCUCUUCUUUACCAAAGGAACUUAUUCCGAAAGUAACUGAAUCAGAGAAGCUUUUGUAUUCCAGUGAAAUACAGCUGGUAAAGAAGAGCAAAGAGUGUAAGAGAGAGUUAAAAAGGAGGGAGUGUCUUAGCUACACCUCUAUUUUGAUAACUGAUGUAGAUUUGCUCCGUGAACCUACAGAUUAGCCUCCAAAGGAAAUAUACUCUGUUCAACUUGAGGGGAAAACCUAUUUUCCUGUUUUCCCGUCAGAUCUUGUUUUUCCAACCUGCUUUGCCUUAGACGGAUCCGAGCCUUGGUUUUACAAGCAUGAGUAAAUGAGCUUGAUAAGUUGAUUCGUGAGGGUUUUAGCAUUUACGAAAAAAAAUUCCUUUCAAAAAAUUUUCUUCAUCUAGAAAAUUUUGUGCCUAUCAUGAUUGAAAUUGAGUUUAAACUUUUUUAUGCCGUUUGAAUUCAAUUAUUAUUUGAUGCUAUGAAUUCGUAGUGCAGCCAAGGAGAAUGAGAGAGAGGAGGAGGCUUCUGUCAUUAAACGUUGGAAACUUGAAUGCUUGAUAUUGGGAUUAGACUUCAUAUGUAGGCUACGUUUCCCAACUCAUUCAGAUUUGGUGGAUUCUUGCCUUCUUUUCUUCUCUCAUACUGUUUGCUUUUUUUCACCUGCUAAAACCUUUGUAUUCCGCUGAAAUACAAAAGCUCUCCUUCAGUGCUUUGGUCUU